rnacentral:rRNA from 1 species
GAUGAACGCUGGCGGCGUGCCUAAUACAUGCAAGUCGAGCGAAUGGAUUAAGAGCUUGCUCUUAUGAAGUUAGCGGCGGACGGGUGAGUAACACGUGGGUAACCUGCCCAUAAGACUGGGAUAACUCCGGGAAACCGGGGCUAAUACCGGAUAACAUUUUGAACCGCAUGGUUCGAAAUCGAAAGGCGGCUUCGGCUGUCACUUAUGGAUGGACCCGCGUCGUCAUUAGCUAGUUGGUGAGGUAACGGCUCACCAAGGCAACGAUGCGUAGCCGACCUGAGGGGGUGGUCGGCCACACUGGGACUGGGACACGGCGCAGACUCCUACGGGAGGCAGCAGUAGGGAAUCUUCCGCAAUGGACGAAAGUCUGACGGAGCAACGCCGCGUGAGUGAUGAAGGCUUUCGGGUCGUAAAACUCUGUUGUUAGGGAAGAACAAGUGCUAGUUGAAUAAGCUGGCACCUUGACGGUACCUAACCAGAAAGCCACGGCUAACUACGUGCCAGCCGCCGCAGUAA